rnacentral:lncRNA from 1 species
UCAUGAUUCUUCCUUCUUCUCUCAGAACCCAUUUUUUGAAGGACUCAUUCCCAGUAAGCAUGAACAAACCUAAUCAAAUCAGAUUAGACUCUGUUCCAAACAAUUAGAGAGGGCAAUGCAAUCACCCUGUGAAUAUACUAGGUGACAGAUGGAUGUAAAUCAUAUUUUAAAGAGGGGUCGGUCCAUUUUUCACCAAAAAUUACAUGUUUUAUAUUUGUUUCGCAAACCGAAAUUCAUUGCAAAUCAAAUGCCAUUUGCUCUGGUAGAUUAACCCUGCAACACUGAUGCUAAGGAUAAGAUAAAAAUGGCGAUGCUGCAUAAU